AUGGCGCCGCCCCGCCCCCGCGCCGCCCCGUCCAAGCGCAGAGCCGCCCCUCCAAACCCGACGGCCGACGACGAGUUCAAUCUGGAUCUGCUCCGCGCGGCCAGCGAGGGCGACCUCCGCCUCUUAAAGAUGCUGGUGUGGGCGCUGGACGAGAGCACAAGGGAUCCCAGGGAGGUGGUGGGGGCGGCCAAGCACAAAGGCGUCGGGGCGCUGCACAUCGCCGCCAGAAAUGGGAGGCUACCCGUGUGCAGGUACCUGGUGGAGGAGCUAGGGGUGGAUGUGGACGCCGUCGAUAACGAAGAUCUAACACCUCCGUUCUGGGCAAUGCAUGGUGGAAGGAUGGAUACUAUGAGUUAUCUUCUUGAUCAUGGGGCCAAUCCACACAAAGUUGAUGACCAAGGGUUCAACCCACUUCAUCGUGCUGCUCGAAGAGGAGACCCUGAAAUGGUGGAACUCUUGCUUGCAAAAGGAGUUUCUGUUGACCCAGUAUCUGCUAGCGGGACACCAUUGCAUAUCGCUGCCUACAAUGGGCAUGAUGAAGCUAUGAAAAUUUUGUUGAAACACGACGCGGAUUGUAACAAGAUAGUACCUGGUGCUGAAACCCCUCUUCUUGUUGCAAUAGCGGGUUCCUCAGUGAAAUGUGUCAAGCUCCUGGUCGAGGCUGGUGCAGAUGUCAAUGACGGUCUUAUAACCCCUUUAGUUGCUGCUGGUGCAGAAAAAGGCUCAACUGCAUGCUUGAAAUACUUACUGGAAGCUGGUGCCAACCCUAAUGUUCCUGACAAUUUUGGUAGGAUGCCAAUAGAAAUUGCUGCACUGGAUGGUUCAAGGGAAGACGUUGAGAUCUUAUUUCCUGUGACUUAUUGUAUUCCAACUGUGCAUGAUUGGAGCAUCGACGGAAUAAUACACCAUGCAAAGUCAGCAUCUAUGAAGCAGGGUGAUCAUUCAAAUGUAAGAAGAAUGGCAGAGUUGAAGUCACUUGCGGUUAAUUCUCUCAAGAGAAACGAUUAUUUUUCUGCGGCAACACUGUACAGUGUGGCAAUGAAGCAUGACCGUCAUGACGCUACCUUGUUAUCGAACAGAAGCCUUUGCUUUCUCCGCAUGGGCAACGGGCACAAGGCUUUGCGGGAUGCUCUUGCGUGCAGUGAAAUGCGGCCUGGCUGGCCAAAGGGCUGGUACCGGCUGGGGGCAGCGCUCAUGUUAUUGAAGGAUUACGAGAGUGCAUGCAAUGCUUUUCUGGAGGCAGCCAAGUUGGACCCGUGGAGUCCUGACAUUGAGGCUGUGUUGCGGGAGGCUAUGAAUUCCUUGAAGACAUCCCGUGGCGCAACAAUGGCUACUUGA
rnacentral:rRNA from 1 species